rnacentral:rRNA from 16 species
UAUUAUUUCUGCCCAGUGUAUAUAAUAUUAACGGCCGCAGUACUUUGACUGUGCUAAGGUAGCAUAAUCAAUUGGCUUUUAAUUUGAGUCUGGAAUGAAAGGAUUUAUGGGGAUUUACUGUUUCAAAUGUAUAAUAUUGAAUUUAUUAAAAAAGUGAAAAUACUUUUGUUUUAAAAAAAGACGAGAAGACCCUAAGAAUUUUUAGAAUAUAUUUAUACAAUUAUUUCUUUUUGUUGGGGCGACAAUUAAACAAUUAAACUUUAAUUAUUUUUUAAUCGGUUUUUUCAGUAAAAAAUAAAUUACCUUAGGGAUAACAGCAUAAUUUAAAAAA